rnacentral:rRNA from 1 species
AUAGUAGUGUCAGAGUUUUGAUCCUGGCUCAGGAUGAACGCUAGCUACAGGCUUAACACAUGCAAGUCGAGGGGCAGCGGGGUGUCAGCUUGCUGACACUGCCGGCGACCGGCGCACGGGUGCGUAACGCGUAUCCAAUCUACCCAUGGCUCGGGGAUUAGCCUUCUGAAAGGAAGAUUAAUACCCGAUGGUCUUGCUGAGGGGCAUCUCUCGGCAAGUAAAGAUUCAUCGGCGAUGGAUGAGGAUGCGACUGAUUAGGUAGUUGGUGGGGUAACGGCCCACCAAGCCAUCGAUCAGUAGGGGUUCUGAGAGGAAGGUCCCCCACAUUGGAACUGAGACACGGUCCAA